rnacentral:rRNA from 1 species
ACGCUCGACACCUACGGUAGGCAGCAGUGGGGGAUAUUGCACAAUGGGGGAAACCCUGAUGCAGCAACGCCGCGUGAAGGAAGAAGGUCUUCGGAUUGUAAACUUCUGUCCUCAGGGAAGAUAAUGACGGUACCUGAGGAGGAAGCUCCGGCUAACUACGUGCCAGCAGCCGUGGUAGUAUGNGCGGCGNGNGACGAG